rnacentral:rRNA from 1 species
GAUGAACGCUGGCGGCGUGCCUAAUACAUGCAAGUCGAGCGAACAGAUAAGGAGCUUGCUCCUUUGACGUUAGCGGCGGACGGGUGAGUAACACGUGGGUAACCUACCUAUAAGACUGGAAUAACUCCGGGAAACCGGGGCUAAUGCCGGAUAACAUUUAGAACCACAUGGUUCUAAAGUGAAAGAUGGUUUUGCUAUCACUUAUAGUUGGACCCGCGCCGUAUUAGCUAGUUGGUAAGGUAACGGCUUACCAAGGCAACGAUACGUAGCCGUCCUGGGAGGGUGAUCGGCCACACUGGAACGGAGACACGGUCCAGACUCCUACGGGAGGCAGCAGUAGGGAAGCUUCCGCAAUGGGCGAAAGCCUGACGGAGCAACGCCGCGUGAGUGAUGAAGGGUUUCGGCUCGUAAAACUCUGUUAUUAGGGAAGAACAAACGUGUAAGUAACUGUGCACGUCUUGACGGUACCUAAUCAGAAAGCCACGGCUAACUACGUGCCAGCCGCCGCCGUAAAAC